rnacentral:rRNA from 1 species
UUUAAUUGAAGAGUUUGAUCAUGGCUCAGAUUGAACGCUGGCGGCAGGCCUAACACAUGCAAGUCGAACGGUAACAGG